UCUAAACCUUUCUUGCGAUGUUAGUGAGCGUUUUCGGUGGAUACGACUACAAUAUCUCAAUUUGUGGUCGUUACAGAUGAGUGAGUGAUGUAAUUCGAACGAUUAUACACGAAAAACGAGGAAGUUGUUUCUGUAUCUGUUUUUAUCCAUCUGCGCAUCUAGAAGUCAUUUCUGCGUCAAUUUUUACGUUUACUUGAAAAUUUGUCGUGCAGUCCCUAUGAAAUUAUUUGUAUAGUUACAAAAAGCGUUUGAAACGAGAUCCGUCCCACAUUUGUUUUAUUUUUAUUUUAUAAUUUGUAAAUAGAAAAUGCUUUCGCAAACUGAGUUAUAUACAAAUAGUGUGCGAAUG
rnacentral:rRNA from 1 species